rnacentral:rRNA from 1 species
AUUGAACGCUGGCGGCAUGCCUUACACAUGCAAGUCGAACGGCAGCACGGGAGCAAUCCUGGUGGCGAGUGGCGAACGGGUGAGUAAUGUAUCGGAACGUGCCCAGUCGUGGGGGAUAACGUAGCGAAAGCUACGCUAAUACCGCAUACGAUCUAUGGAUGAAAGCGGGGGAUCGCAAGACCUCGCGCGAUUGGAGCGGCCGAUUUCAGAUUAGGUGGUUGGUGGGGUAAAGGCUCACCAAGCCGACGAUCUGUAGCUGGUCUGAGAGGACGACCAGCCACACUGGGACUGAGACACGGCCCAGACUCCUACGGGAGGCAGCAGUGGGGAAUUUUGGACAAUGGGCGCAAGCCUGAUCCAGCAAUGCCGCGUGCAGGAUGAAGGCCUUCGGGUUGUAAACUGCUUUUGUACGGAACGAAACGGCGAGCUCUAAUACAGUUUGCUAAUGACGGUACCGUAAGAAUAAGCACCGGCUAACUACGUGCCAGCAGCCGCAGUAA